GACGGAGGAUCCAAGCGUUGUCCGGAUUUACUGGGUUUAAAGGGUGCGUAGGCGGAUGACUAAGUCAGUGGUGAAAGCCCGCAGCUUAACUGCGGAAGUGCCACUGAAACUGGUUAUCUUGAGUACGGCUGAGGUUGUUGGAAUGUAUCAUGUAGCGGUGAAAUGCUUAGAUAUGAUACAGAACACCGAUUGCGAAGGCAGACAACUAAACCGUAACUGACGCUGAGGCACGAAAGCGUGGGGAGCAAACAGGAUUAGAUACCCUGGUAGUCCACGCCCUAAACGUUGAUUACUCGCUGUUGGCGAUACACUGUCAGCGGCUAAGCGAAAGCGUUAAGUAAUCCACCUGGGAAGUACGAUCGCAAGAUUGAA
rnacentral:rRNA from 1 species